rnacentral:lncRNA from 1 species
AUAAUUCAGCCACACUGAAGGGGACUCCCCCCAUGAUUGAACAUAAUGACGUGUGAACCCAUUAGGUGGCUAAUAAGAAACAGCAAUGGAGCUGAUGAUGAUGUAGAUGAUACUGGUGAGAACUUUGCUGCAAUAAUCAACUCCAUUUAAAAAGACCACAAAAGCUCAUUCUGCUUUCUAAGGAGAGUAAUUGAGUUUAGAAAAGAGGGAUAAAAGGAUAAGGCAGUGAGGGGCUGUUUUCACGAAGAAAGAAACGUGCCUGUGAAACGCGCUCUUGUUGAGGUGUGUCACUGUAAUGAAGCUGAUUAUGAUCGAAGCUCUGGGUUGCGUGUCAGUUUGGCCUCAUUUGGGCCAGAUUGCACAUUGUUUGUGGUUGGUUGUCGUCUGUCAACAGGCAGAUGAAUAUCUGAAAUGUCCGAAACGUGAACUUUAACACAAUGACUUUGAUAUUUUCCCCUUUUGAUUCCGUUGAAGAGGCAUCUUUUUUUGCAAAACAAAUUAAUAUCAGUCAAUAGCUAUUAGUUAUUGAUGACAUUUGGUAAUUUAACAGUAUCACUGUUUUGUUAUGUCUGUGUAGUCAACAUUUUAAUAUUUUUGAGCGGCCCGCUCUCUCUGACUGUAAACAAAGCCAUUCUCCACCUCCCCCAACCUGAUUGUGAGGUGGACACUGCUCCACAUCACGGUCAAGAGCACAAACCAAGUUAGCGUGCUACAGUAUCGGACAGUGGAAACCAACAAGAAAGUACGGGAAAUUGUCUGAAUCCUCCUUUGGCCACGACUGCUAACAUACGCAAGAAAAUGAACUUAAUACCGGAGACUCUGGUGGAAUAAGAGGUAGGAGGCAGACCAGACAAGAGCUAAGAAGCUAGGUCAACAUCAGCAUAAACAAUGGGGGAGGCCUCGGGAUCUUGGUGACCCUGUAACCUUUCUGCUGGACAGGUAAACCGCUUUAACAAAGUAAGACAAGUGUCUGUAACAGAAGUGUUUCUUGUCAAACAGACCUGCUGUAGCGUGUUGUAGCGCCAUCGCUAAACUGUUGACCUCAGGUCCUGGAGUAAGUCAUUUAUCCUAGUUGUAGAAGUCCUGCAAACAUUGUGUUUGCUGGUAGUCUGUUGGCAUCUACAGUAGCACCAAUGCUUUUGACUUUCACCUUGACUGGGCCCCAUUUGUAAUGAUCUGAAGUAUUUAUCUGCAUUAUAUCUGAAUUUAAUUGGAACGAUGCGAGCGAGCAGGGACGUCUGUUUGUGGGCGGGGCUUGCUGGAGCAGAGAGGGAGGGGAGAGGAGGAGCUGAGGAGACAACUGGUGGGGGGGUAGAGUUUACAUUCAAGAUUUCUCCCAAAAACGGGCGCUUCCUCAGAUCGUGCCUACCUCCCCUUUUAAAGCUAUUUAUAUCAUUAUAGGAAGCUGGACUGAAGGUUUUUAAUAUCGUGUUGUAACUUGACAUGUACCCAUGUGUCCCCUCUCUGUCAUGUUCAGUCAUUUCCCCUCCGCAGACUCGUUUGAUUUAUUUGUGAAAGUUUCUAAAACCGAGAAAAACUGUUAGAAAUGAGUGAGUGAGUUAUAGACGCAUACAAAAUAUUCAUAGAGGAAAAAGUGGCGUAAAAAAAUUGGCAGGUGAUCAUCGGAUCAUCUAUCCUGGUUCGAUCACAAACCAGAUCGAUUUUCAAGCAGCGAUAAAUAUUAUUAAAAGAACAAAUUGAUAUUGUAGAUUCGACUCGAUCUCUCCCUCACACACAUUCAGUGGUGCACAGGGACUAAGAGUGACAGCAGAUGAGAACCACAGAUGUCUCCCUCGUGAGAACACGGCUGCCAACAGAUGAGCCGACCCAUUCUUCAUCGUUCUCUCUGUGUCUGGCGUGUCGUACACUUGGACCCAUGAGUUCACUCCUUCAUCUGCCUCUGCGUGUCUGUGUCCAUGAUGUAUUCCUCUUUUCUCUCUCCUCGUCUGCUCACUUUCCAGUUUUUUUCUUCAGAACAGAGCGUUCUUUCCUCUGUUAUAGUGUUAAUUUGUGUAAUUUGGCACAUUAUUACAUGAAAUAGACAACUGUUGUUAAAAAAAAAAUCCUAGAUUUCAUUUAGUAUCCCAGAGACUUGGUUACCUUUCUGCAGACCAAUCCAAACUUUUCCCUCCAGGGGAGUUUACGAUCUGUCUGAAUCAUGAUGGUGUUUGCUCACCAAAAUAUUUCUUAUUCCUUUGCACAUAAAAGGAAAUUAGACUUUUUGAUGGUAGAGAUAAUUUGUUAGACUGAAACUGCGCUGCAUCACUGGGAAGGUCUUUUAUUUGUUUUUCUAAUAAGAGUUUAUACGUCUCUUUUGGAGGCAAAAAAAAUUGCUAUAAUCUGCAAAAAAAAUCAAAAGGGUUGUAGGUUUUCAAACCGAAACUAAAAAAUUGAUGUAAAUCAGAAACAAUAUUUGCACGAGGAUGGAUCCUUGAGGUACACCAUAUUGGACAGUUUUUAAUGAUACAAUAAUAAUGCAUCAGAUUUUAUAGCACUUUAUCAGAGACCAGCUGUCCUGAGGCCUACAGCCUCUCCAACCACCACACAACACUCACAAUCACACACCAGUGGAGCAGGGUGGGUUAAGUGUCUUGCUCAAGGACACAACGGACAGACUAGAGAUAGGGGGGAAUCAAACUGCCAACCUUCCAGUUAUUGGACAACCGCUCUACCUCUUGAAGUACUGCCACCUACUUUCUUGUUGACUCAUUACUGUUAAUAAAUACAUAUUGCGUUGUAUCAUGACCAGAAUUACUAAACCCCUUAAAAGCAUUAACCCAAAAAUAUAUUAUUGCAAACUCAAAACUGUCCAAGAAAUAAAUAUUCUGUCAGUAAUUUUGCAGCAGUUUCAAGCGAAUCACAACCCAGAAGAUCAAUAAUGUGUUCACAGCAUAGAAAGAGAGAGACAGCAAAAAUGACCUCCUUUAAAAAUAAACCCACAAGCUGCUGGGGUGUUUAGGAGACUGUCAGACACCUGCAAUGAUCCCACCUCAGUAUCACCGAUCAGUGCAUCCCUUCAUUAGGAAAAGUAUGGUGCUCAUUCACACAUGACACUCAGCAGAACCUGAUGCUCUGUCCAAACUGAGGCAUGGCUCGGACUUGAUGUUUGGAGGCUAGGGAACAACCAAAAAUCUCUGGUCUCCUACAUGCUGAGGUUAUAGUAACGUCUUUAUUUUCCCAAGUUUUUCAUCUUGUACAAAGAAAUGGCGCAGAACAGAUGAACAAAUCUGUAUAUUUCAUAUUCAAAGAAAUGCCCAAGAACCAGCUCCCAGUGCAUCCAACUGUGUGAGAUUAGUGCUAUCUUUUUAUAUGGAAAUAACUUCCAUGUAUAAUUUCCUCUGGAGCUGUUUUCUAAGACACAAAAACAGCCUGAUUGUAUGUAUCCUCCCUAUAGCAUCUGCAUGUUUGCCACUUCUAAGAAGCCAUUAAAACAGCGAGUUUCUGAGCCAGCAGGAUCAUUAUAUGCAUGUAUAAUUGAGAUGAGUAGCUGCUGCAUUGAUGCGCCAUAGCUUCUGUGUCAUACAAAGCUCUGUUUAUCCAUUUCUGUUUUACCAUCAGCAGUCACAGCCCACUUUCCCAAGCCGAGUGCU